CGACCGGCGCACGGGUGAGUAACGCGUAUCCAACCUGCCUUUACUAUGGGACAGCCCGUCGAAAGGCGGAUUAAUACCGUAUGUUGUCAUGUUGAUGCAUAUUUUCAUGCCAAAGGCUUCGGCCGGUAAAGGAUGGGGAUGCGUCUGAUUAGCUUGCCGGCGGGGUAACGGCCCACCGGGGCGACGAUCAGUAGGGGUUCUGAGAGGAAGGUCCCCCACACUGGUACUGAGACACGGACCAGACUCCUACGGGAGGCAGCAG
rnacentral:rRNA from 1 species